GAUGAACGCUGGCGGCGUGCUUAACACAUGCAAGUCGAACGGGAAUUACUUUAUUGAAACUUCGGUCGAUAUGAUUUAAUUCUAGUGGCGGACGGGUGAGUAACGCGUGGGUAACCUGCCUUAUACAGGGGGAUAACAGUCAGAAAUGACUGCUAAUACCGCAUAAGCACACAGAGCUGCAUGGCUCGGUGUGAAAAACUCCGGUGGUAUAAGAUGGACCCGCGUUGGAUUAGCUGGUUGGUGAGGUAACGGCCCACCAAGGCGACGAUCCAUAGCCGGCCUGAGAGGGUGAACGGCCACAUUGGGACUGAGACACGGCCCAGACUCCUACGGGAGGCAGCAGUGGGGAAUAUUGCACAAUGGGGGAAACCCUGAUGCAGCGACGCCGCGUGAAGGAAGAAGUAUCUCGGUAUGUAAACUUCUAUCAGCAGGGAAGAAAAUGACGGUAC
rnacentral:rRNA from 1 species